rnacentral:rRNA from 1 species
GUCCACGCUGUAAACGAUGGAUGCUAGCCGUCAGCAAGCAUGCUUGUUGGUGGCGCAGCUAACGCAUUAAGCAUCCCGCCUGGGGAGUACGGCCGCAAGGUUAAAACUCAAAGGAAUUGACGGGGGCCCCGCACAAGCGGUGGAGCAUGUGGUUUAAUUCGACGCAACGCGAAGAACCUUACCAGCCCUUGACAUGCCCGGACGGUUUCCAGAGAUGGAUUCCUCCUAGCAAUAGGUCGGGACACAGGUGCUGCAUGGCUGUCGU